CCUACGGGCGGCAGCAGUGGGGAAUAUUGCACAAUGGGCGAAAGCCUGAUGCAGCAACGCCGCGUGAGCGAUGAAGGCCUUCGGGUCGUAAAGCUCUGUCCUCAAGGAAGAUAAUGACGGUACUUGAGGAGGAAGCCCCGGCUAACUACGUGCCAGCAGCCGCGGUAAUACGUAGGGGGCUAGCGUUAUCCGGAAUUACUGGGCGUAAAGGGUGCGUAGGUGGUUUCAUAAGUCAGAGGUGAAAGGCUACGGCUAAACCGGAGUAAGCCUUUGAAACUGGGGAACUUGGGUGCAGGGGGGGAGGGGGGAAUUCCUGGUGUAGCGGGGAAAUGCGUAGAUAUUAGGAGGAAAACC
rnacentral:rRNA from 1 species